rnacentral:tRNA from 1 species
GGUGGGUUGGCUCAGUGGUUAGAGCGUAGGUCUCGUAACCGAAAGGUUGCGGUAUCGAAUCGAAAUCGAAAUUUAUUU